CCAAACAAAGGUGUGAAUGCUGGAGCGCGUGCGAACACCUUGGUCCUCUUCUAACCUCUGCGUGUCUGUGUUCAGUUACGGCCGCGUCUACACCACAGACCCCUACCACGCUCUAGCUCCGGCUGCUGCUGCUUACGGGGUCGGCGCCAUGGCCAGUUUAUACCGGGCAGGAUACAGCAGGUUUGCUCCGUACUAGCACCACAGCCCGCAUCCACGAACCUCCCGUUACUCCAGAACCCCUUGUUUCCAGCGCGCCUCCAUGUUUCUGCAGAUGGACUUUCUUUGUCUUUUUGUUUUUGUGGCGAACCACAUCAUCCCUCACUACGCUUUCACUACUCUUUAAGUUUGUCACUGACAUGGGAACCAUGAGAAACCACCGGGAGCGUGACCCACGUAGGAGGACGGGUCUGAACGCCAGGCACCUGUCUGGACCGACACUAAAUCCACGUCCCUGUAAUCAGACCUGCACAUGUCCGUUAGGCACCAGCAGGAUGCUGCUUCAAACACUACAUGGGUGGAGAACCAGGACCGGACCGGACCCGACGCUGACGGAGAAGCUGGGACACGGUCUGACUGACUCUAUGGGAAUAAUUUUACCUCUUAGUCUUAGUUUCCGACAUUCUCCCCGUCCCCACCCAAACAACCAGGAAACACGAGGAAAAAAGAAGUCAUGUUUCAAAAAAGGAUGAAAAUGACAAAGGAAAAAAGUGUUUGUUUUUCUGCAUUACCUCAGUUUUUCUUUUGCUGCGUCACAGACGUUGAUUUGUUCUCACUCCUGAUCUGCACGUUUAUUACUAUGAGUGCGACACUACGAUGGGAUGAUGGGUCUUUCUGCCCACUUAGCCCACUUAGAGCAUCCACCCCACCCCCCUUUCCCCCCAGGCUCACGGGGCUUCACCAUAAAAGGACUCGGUGCACCUUCUUCCACGUCCUGGACCGCGACGAGCCAAGGAAGCGCUGCUGAACACGAACAGAGCUGGUUGGAAGCAGAGUGCGAUAUUUACGCCUGCAGGCACCAGGCGGAGCAGAACCGGUGCCUGGUCCCAACUCAGCAGAACAGAGCGGGCCACAUUAAAGCCCUCAAGCAGUGAGGCCUCUGUUUAUAGUCCUAGGUGUCCACAUCGGUUUGUAAUUUUGAAUCCUGCGUCUCUGGGAUUGUAGUUUUAAAUUCUCUACCGGCCUCUGAGGCAGAACCUUUCUACCCCCGUCUCCAUAUCCUGUGCUGUUGUUGCUAUUAUUUGCUUUUGGUUCCAAAGAUUUCUUGAAGCAAGCACAUUUUUGGUCCUGAUGUAUUUCUUAUGUUAAUGUUUUCUAUUUUAAAAUCUGAGGGUUGAAGCUGAAUUUUUGUGUUUGCUGCCCGUUGAUCAUUUCAGUCCACGCACUCGUCUCACGGCUCCUCGUGGUGACAAAGGGAAGUUAUUUAGCUAAGGAGGGAGGGGGAGGCGCGUGCAGCGCUGCGGCUCAGAGGAGCAGCGUGUGGGAGCGAGAAGCCGAGCCAUUAAUCAGAAACCGACAGGACGACAUCAGCUGCUGCCUGUAGCCGGUGGGGCGGACGGUCACACACAGGAGGCUGCUGGUGAUGAGGAGGAGUGUUUUUGAUGUGUGUUACCUCUUUUUGUCUUAUUAUUCCUUACAAGUAUUAUCAGAAGUGUUGCUAUGCAUGCCUGUGUCAGAGAGGAAGGGCCUCAUUUCAUUUGUGCAUGAAAUCGAAUCCUAGUGCUGGAGGAGCUGUUCACGUAGCAGGAGGUUGUGAUGGGAGGCGACAGACGUGAAGAAGCUCUCAGCGACGGUCCAGUUCUGGGUGCGGAGGAGGGGGGAGGGGUCGGUCCACCGGGCUUCAGCUCAUCUCAUCAUGUGUAGGUUUAAAGAGCGCGAUCGACUCGGCCUCGUGCUCCGACCCGCGUACGGCGGCCUGGACGACCCGACCCCCCCUCUGCCCGGACCCAGCGGCUGUAGAGGCAUUUCAUGAAUGGGUUUGAAUCGCAUGUGGAGGUUUUUUACAUCACAUGCUCCUAAAAGCUCAUUUAUCAAGUGAUUUUUUUAUUUCAGUAAGUGACAUGUAUUUUCUUUGUCAUCCUUGUGUCUGCUUUCUGUUUAUUCUUCAUUAUUAUUGAAUGUAUAUAAUAAAACUGUUUGGUUUUUA